UACGGGGGGAGCGAGCGUUGUUCGGAUUCACUGGGCGUAAAGGGCGUGUAGGUGGGUUUUCAAGUCAUAUGUGAAAACCGUCGGCUUAACCGACGGCCUGCAUCUGAAACUGGAGAUCUUGAGUACGGGAGAGGAAAGCGGAAUUCCUGGUGUAGCGGUGAAAUGCGUAGAUAUCAGGAGGAACACCGGUGGCGAAGGCGGCUUUCUGGCCCGAUACUGACGCUAAGGCGCGAAGGCCGGGGGAG
rnacentral:rRNA from 1 species